rnacentral:rRNA from 1 species
GCUAGUUGGUGGGGUAAAAGCUCACCAAGGCGACGAUCUGUAGCUGGUCUGAGAGGACGACCAGCCACACUGGAACUGAGACACGGUCCAGACUCCUACGGGAGGCAGCAGUGGGGAAUUUUGGACAAUGGGCGCAAGCCUGAUCCAGCAAUGCCGCGUGCAGGAUGAAGGCCUUCGGGUUGUAAACUGCUUUUGUACGGAACGAAACGGUGAGCUCUAAUAAAGCUUGCUAAUGACGGUACCGUAAGAAUAAGCACCGGCUAACUACGUGCCAGCAGCCGCGGUAAUACGUAGGGUGCGAGCGUUAAUCGGAAUUACUGGGCGUAAAGCGUGCGCAGGCGGUUAUAUAAGACAGAUGUGAAAUCCCCGGGCUCAACCUGGGACCUGCAUUUGUGACUGUAUAGCUAGAGUACGGUAGAGGGGGAUGGAAUUCCGCGUGUAGCAGUGAAAUGCGUAGAUAUGCGGAGGAACACCGAUGGCGAAGGCAAUCCCCUGGACCUGUACUGACGCUCAUGCACGAAAGCGUGGGGAGCAAACAGGAUUAGAUACCCUGGUAGUCCACGCCCUAAACGAUGUCAACUGGUUGUUGGGUCUUCACUGACUCAG